rfam:Peptostreptococcaceae bacterium AS15 ctg120005099199, whole genome shotgun sequence.
CUGUUAAAGAAGAAAUAUCCGUUUCUCACCUUACCACAUCAGUGCGUUGGGUUAAUUAUAGUUUUUUGAUUUUUAAUUACUGUAAAUUAGUGCGGAUAGAUUUUCUAUCCGCUUUUUAUUUGCUUU